rnacentral:rRNA from 1 species
AUUGAACGCUAGCGGCAAGCUUAACACAUGCAAGUCGAACGAGUGGCGGACGGGUGAGUAAUGUCUGGGAACGUGCCUGGUAGAGGGGGAUAACUACUGGAAACGGUAGCUAAUACCGCAUACUAUUGGAUCUGCCGAGAUGGGAUUAGCUAGUUGGUGGGGUAAAGGCUCACCUAGGCGACGAUCCCUAGCUGGUCUGAGAGGAUGACCAGCCACACUGGAACUGAGACACGGUCCAGACUCCAACGGGAGGCAGCAGUGGGGAAUAUUGCACAAGGGGGGAAAGCCUGAUGCAGCCAUGCCGCUUGUAUGAAGAAGGCCUUCGGGUUGUAAAGUACUUUCGGCCGGGAGGCGUUACCCGCAGAAUAAGCACCGGCUAACUCCGUGCCAGCAGCCGCGGUAAUAC